rnacentral:sRNA from 1 species
GCGGUGCUGCGGGGUGCGUGUUGGAUUGUAUUCCCGGGGCCUUAUCGAUCUCAAGGGAGCUGUCCCUGUUCUUGCCCGUGGGCUUGAGCAUAUGGCGCCCACCUACGUUGUAGGUACCCGGGAUCGAUAUCCCACGGCUUUUGUGGCCCGCA